GGCUGCUGUCACUGAAAAUGUCAAGUUGUGUGUGUAAAAAAACGUAAACAGUGUUGUUGGCUGAUCAAAUUUUGGUAAGUUUUUUAAUAAUUUAGUUCUUAAUUUUACGUAAGUAAGUGCCAUUUUAGCAAAAGUAAGUGGUAGAAGUCGUGCCCAAUGCGUGCUGGCUCCGUCGGAAGCGGUACGUGCAUGUACCGGCGUAGGAAAGUGGUGUGGUGAACAACACAGCACAAGACAGCGGAUAUAAUGCAGAAACGAUAUGGGCCUGCGGCAGGUGUUUGCGACUGUGCGCUGUGUAUGAUUGUGUAUGAUACGCCAAUUUUCCUCUAUCCUGGAACGUGGGCUUACGAGGAACCGUUCAAGAAGAUCCUCCGGAAGCUGUACGGCGACGAGUCGGGCUCUACCAGCACAACACGCUAGAGGCCCAGCCGGCACCGGGUGCCCCGAUUGCGCCGUGAGACAAUGUCGAUCGCGCUCGUUAACAACGUUCGGGGCAGGAAUGCAACCCUUCUGAUCAUUAUCCUCUGCCUCACAAUAGCUGCAGCAGCAACAGGACCGAACCGACCGCACUACUGAUUGCGGUCAAAUUUCCUGGCAGGAGAAAAAAUCCCACAAGUGUAUCGAUUGCAUCGACGGUCGCUCGCUGACGGCACCAACAUGCCACUGAAUAACCCCGGAAAGGCGACAAACAUCACGACAUCACGUUAAAAGUGUUAAUGUGUUAAUUGAACAAACUUGAUGUUAACGAGUUAAGUUUAAUUUUAAGUGCGCUUUAAGGCAUAAAUCGAUAUGGCUAAUUUUAAGUUAAGUGUUUUGACAUGCACGUGUGUGUGAAGGGGCGGAAUAAGCGCUAAGCAAACUAAGCGGCCGCGUAGGGCCCCGUGGUCUUGAGGGGGCCCAAAAAAGGAACUCACCCCCCACUCGCAAGUUAAAUUGCUGCUAAAUCCUUCUCUAGUUUAGAAUAUUUCCCUGCUAGACGCUUAAACCAAUCUUACAUUUAUGUGACUGAUUAGGGCCUCCACUCGUAUGUGCGGGUUUUGCACAACAUUUAAGAUAAAUAAAUUUAGUUUAUAUUAUCAUAAAACACUACGCAUUUUUAAAGGGGGAAUGAACAUGAUGACAUAUAUUUAGUUUGUUAGAAGGUUUGUAUGCACGUUCACUAGUUUAUUUUAUCUGGAUUCUUUGCGGACUGCUUUUCGAUUGCGCAUGUCGCUUUGCCUCGUCUUGUGUUUUACAAACCCCAACAGCAGGGAUGCGGCUAGUCUAUCAUUGGAUUAACCUGGUGGAUCUGGUAGCUUGUAGCGCACCAUACUCGCCUGUCCGCGAUGGGUAGGCCAUGUCAUACCCCUGGUACUGAACGAUCCAGCCCAUAGUCGUUCGCAAGGACAGCUAAAACGGUGUGUCACAGAAUGUGUAACAGAUGGUAGAAAAUGGGUACCUGCGGGUGAGAGAGUCUGUUUCUAAUGUUUUAUUAUCAGUUGGUGACACGUUCAAAUGGAUGUGCACAGAUCACGGCCCGAUCCUGAGGGCUCAUCGUUGAAAGAGGCGCUGUCCGCAUGUGAUGUUCGCAGAGAGGAUCUUGACACGGAACCGAGUGUGGCCGUUCUCUCUCCCUCCCCCUCCCGCGUGUGUUUUUG